GCACUUGCUGGGACGGGAGCCGCGUUAAUGUGGUGGUGGCGUGGGUUGGACGGAAUUAGGGGGCGUAAAGGGUGCUGAGUGGUUUGGUCGCGUCGGGAGUGAAAACGCCGGGCUUAACUCGUUGCUUGCUUCCGAUACGGGCAGACUAGAGGCAUGCAGGGGAGAACGGAAUUCCUGGUGUAGCGGUGAAAUGCGCAGAUAUCAGGAGGAACACCGGGGACGAAGGCGGUUCUCUGGGCAUGUCCUGACGCUGAGGAGCGAAAGUGUGGGGAGCGAACAGGAUUAGAUACCCUGGUAGUC
rnacentral:rRNA from 1 species